rnacentral:rRNA from 1 species
GUGCCACGCCUGAGCUCUUAAAUCCACAACACACCUGUGAACCCACCGUAGGCCUUCGGGCUUAUGUAUCAUAUACUCUGAAUGUGUCRUAGAAUGUUCAUGUUGCCUUAAAACGCAAUCAAAUACAACUUUCAACAACGGAUCUCUUGGCUCUCGCAUCGAUGAAGAACGCAGCGAAAUGCGAUAAGUAAUGUGAAUUGCAGAUUUUCAGUGAAUCAUCGAAUCUUUGAACGCACCUUGCGCUCCUUGGUAUUCCGAGGAGCAUGCCUGUUUGAGUGUCAUUAAAUUCUCAACCCCACCGAUUUGUUUUGGGGGGAUUGGACUUGGAGUGUGCUGGCGAAGGUCGGCUCCUCUUUAAUGCAUCAGUGGAGAGAAACUUGCCCCAGUGUGAUAAUCCUGUUGUGCUGUGGUGGGUGAAAGUCUGCUUUCAACUGUCCUCCGGGACGAUACACCAUCUUAUUUUGACCUCAAAUCAGGUAGGACUACCCGCUGAACUUAAGCAUAUCAAUAAGCGGAGGAAAAGAAACUAACAAGGAUUCCCCUAGUAACUGCGAGUGAAGCGGGAAAAGCUCAAAUUUAAAAUCUGGCGGUCGUCCUGGCCGUCCGAGUUGUAAUCUGGAGAAGUGUUUUCCGCGUCGGACCGUGUACAAGUCU